AGUGGCGCCCGGAGCCUUUGGGUGAGGCUGUCCUGUCACGGCCGCCUCACGUGCUACAAAAAGAGGAUAGCGCUGAUAGCGAGCCGCCUCGGGAGCAGAGCGGAGUCAGAAUGUUGAAGACGAAACAGCAGAGAAUCCAUGUUCAGGCAUUCCAGUACAAAAGAAAACUUUCUGAGUGGGAGCUAGAUAGGUAAAAUGGAUGUUCUUCAGAACGUAAUUGUGAAGAGUUUGGAAAAAUACGCAGAGUGGUCAGAACAAGCUUUCUGAGAGUACUGAGGAUGAGUACUGAAAA
rnacentral:lncRNA from 1 species